UACGAAGGGGGCUAGCGUUGCUCGGAAUCACUGGGCGUAAAGGGUGCGUAGGCGGGUCUUUAAGUCAGGGGGGAAAUCCUGGAGCUCAACUCCAGAACUGCCUUUGAUACUGAAGAUCUUGAGUUCGGGAGAGGUGAGUGGAACUGCGAGUGUAGAGGUGAAAUUCGUAGAUAUUCGCAAGAACACCAGUGGCGCAGGCGGCUCACUGGCCCGGUACUGACGCUGAGGCACGAAAGCGUGGGGAGCAAACAGG
rnacentral:rRNA from 1 species